rnacentral:snRNA from 1 species
UUGGUUUUGCAACAUAUGUACUAGAAUUGGAAUGAUACAGAGAAGACUAGCAUAGCUCCUGCACACACAGGGUGAUACACAAAUUUGUGAAAUAUAUUUUUCAUUU